rnacentral:rRNA from 1 species
UCCUACCGGGGGGCAGCAGUAGGGAAUCUUCCGCAAUGGACGAAAGUCUGACGGAGCAACGCCGCGUGAGUGAAGAAGGUUUUCGGAUCGUAAAACUCUGUUGUCAGGGAAGAACAAGUAUGGGAGUAACUGCCCGUACCUUGACGGUACCUGGCCAGAAAGCCACGGCUAACUACGUGCCAGCAGCCGCGGUAAUACGUAGGUGGCAAGCGUUGUCCGGAAUUAUUGGGCGUAAAGCGCGCGCAGGCGGCCUUUUAAGUCUGAUGUGAAAGCCCCCGGCUCAACCGGGGAGGGUCAUUGGAAACUGGAAGGCUUGAGUGCAGAAGAGAAGAGCGGAAUUCCACGUGUAGCGGUGAAAUGCGUAGAGAUGUGGAGGAACACCAGUGGCGAAGGCGGCUCUUUGGUCUGUAACUGACGCUGAGGCGCGAAAGCGUGGGGAGCGAACAGGAUUAGAUACCCUGGUAGUCCACGCCGUAAACGAUGAGUGCUAAGUGUUGGGGGGUUUCCGCCCCUCAGUGCUGCAGCUAACGCA